UACGAAGGGGGCUAGCGUUGCUCGGAAUGACUGGGCGUAAAGGGCGCGUAGGCGGUUCACGCAGUCAGAUGUGAAAUCCUGGGCUCAACCUGGGGGCUGCAUUUGAUACGCGUGGACUGGAGUGGGGAAGAGGGUCGUGGAAUUCCCAGUGUAGAGGUGAAAUUCGUAGAUAUUGGGAAGAACACCGGUGGCGAAGGCGGCGACCUGGUCCUUGACUGACGCUGAGGCGCGAAAGCGUG
rnacentral:rRNA from 1 species